CUUCAGGCCCCAGAGCUUGGCCCGACCCUAGAACGGCCACCGCCCUUCACACCGCGGAGGGCGGCGUCCCUCCCACCGCCGCGCCGAAUUCGGGCUUGGCGACUCGCUGGGGGGUCCCGGGCGCCCCCCACCCGCCCCGACGGCCAAGCGCCCGGAGCCCGCCCCACGGCCGCCCCUGAGGGCUGUCGUCCCGACAGGCUCGGUCCACUCCGCCCGCCGAGCCCUCGCCGAGCCCCGCUGCUGUGCUGACUUCAGCCCACAUCGCACCCCAGCCACCAGGGAACUUUCCAGAACGUUGGCCCUCUCUGGGAAGUCCCGAGUCGCCAUCCAGGAGGGAGCGCCCACCUGAGGCCUGGCGGGCUCGGGGCCGGGCCGCACGCGGAGCGCACCCUUCGGGCCCAGCCUCCGGAAGCGCUAUUCAGUCGCCGCGGGGCGCCACCCCUCGGGCCGGGCCCGCCGCUCCAGGGGCACCGACGGCGGCGCAGCAAGACACGGGAGAGCACCGCGCCCCCAGCCCGCCAGGAGCCCCCUGCCCGCCUAGACCUCGCCCGACCCCCCGGAGGCAGCCCGAGCUAAAAUUAGCGCCGAGCGCGCGGCGCGCUCACGUGCGCCCCGCGGGACGGGGUGCGGGUGAGUCACGGCCCCGCCCCCCUCGCCGAGGACGCGCUGACGUCAGCCGCUUCCCCGAAGGAUGACGUCAGCGCGCCUCGGGGAGGCCGCGAGGCCUCCGUAGAACGUUCACUGAGUUUCGAUGUCUUAAAGGGACCAGGCCUUGGAUCGUGAAAGAUCUAGAGCGAUGACUGCUCUCGCUCACCCGUGGAGGCAGAACUUGUCUUAUAUCUCUUUGUCCGGAGAAGUGUUGGCUAAGAUGAUGUUGAAAAAAAGAAGAGCACCUGAACCUCAUUGGAAGCUCCCCGAAGCCUCAGAACCUCCUCCUGGAAGCCCUCUGUGAUUAACCGGAAUCUCAUCCUUACUCAAAAGUUACACAGCUAAAGAAUGGCAAACAGGAAGUCAUUCCCAGGUCAGCUGGACUCUGAGUCUGUGUUUUGGUGACGAAGAUGGGCUAUGAAAUCUAUGUCUUAUUCGGGGUUUUCUGGAGCCUGUGACCAAACCCCUGGUGUGUGUUCCCACCACAACCUCAGGAGGAGAUGGAGAAAACCACAGACGGCCUCAGCCGUGAGGUCAGCGGCUUGUUCCCUUGCACUUGGCUUGGACGUACAGACAUGGAAGCUUAGAGCAGUAUGAGACCUUCAGGCCAACCAGGCCAGCCCCUGUUUUAUAACUAAGGGACUGAGGUGCAGGUGAGGUGACCUGCCUGGGGUCACAUGGCCUGUUAGGUAGAGAGUCCUAGUCACCUGACUUCCAGCCCACUGCUCUUUCCAUGAUCACACCUCUGUUAUGAGUCUCAGGUGGAACCGUGGGCGUAAAUGUGCAUGGUAAACUGUAACACGCCAUUUACACGAUAGAAAGGAAGACAAAUGGCGACUUGAAGUAAGUAUAGAGAUGAAACUGUAGGGAAGAAUUGGAGAAUACAAUUUCUGAGGACCCCUGGCUAUGCCUUCUUCCCCUUUCUUUUCUCUUCCAUACAGUCUCAAGAUAGGGGAGGGGGUUAUUCCUUCCCAGACCUAGGAACCACUUCCCAAUGGAAUGACAGGAUGGGUUGGAUUGCCAUUUUUAAACCUUCAGUAAUCAAAAUCUUGUGUGUCGUUUCAGGUUUUGACUUUUUAUCUCCCAGCCUUCACUUCCCAUCAUCUUCCUAUCUCAGAAGCCCCAUUUAAUGUUGUUAAGAGCCGUAAAUGUAACUGGCCACUAAUGUGGAAGGAUUGUGAUCUCCAGCAAACGGCCCCAGCAAAGAAAGGAGCAGGAAUCCUGGGUCUGUUCCCAACCGUGCCAGUGACUCACUGGAUGACACAAAGUAAUGUGGUUCUUUUGUUGGGGGGAGAGAUGUGAGAAGACGACGCACACAGCUGCUCGCCUGACAGAGGUGAAAGGGUGGAGGAGAAGCCAUUUGACAGGCUCCCAGCAUAGUGGAGGCUCAGGGGUCCCUGGGUGAAUCCAGUUCCAUAGUAACUGCUUAGCAAUGGCCGGCUGGGUCAGCCCUGAGCUCUGGCCCACUUGAGCCCCUGCCUCCGAUGGAGCCGCUAAGAUGGCGUGGGCUGGAUUAUGGCACUUACCCUUCAUGACAUCAUUCUCAUUGGUUAGGAAUGCGCCCUGGUUGUUCCUAACUCCACUUUAAUAACUUGUUAUAGAUCUGCCCUCCAGGAAUUUGUUUGAAACUUUCUUUAAUCUAUUUAUAUUUCAGCCUGUGCAGCCUUUUCAGGCGGCAAGUAGACUGACCAUUUAUGUAAAAGCACUUAGGUCCUAAAACACAGAAAGUGCUAUAUUAGGGUUCUUAUCAUAAUAAAACGUUUGUAAUUAUAAUGUAUUUAAUAAUGAUAUUAUAAUUUGAUGAUAACAGUGAAUUCAGGUGGUCUCACAGGCUUAUUUUUAGUCACUCACUCUGUUUGUCUUUGUCUUUAUCUCCCCACGCACCACUCCCUAGCCAUCAAAAAGUAUUUAUUAAUGGAGUGAGGGGCUGUCAUGGGUAUAACAAUGCAUGCAAACUUAGAUAAACACAUUCAGUGUCCUCUAAAGACUUACCAUCUACCACCAACAUACAGUAGGUGCUCAAUAAAUACUUGUUGGGCGAAUGGAUGGAUGGAAGGAAUUAAAAAAACCUGCGUGGUAACUGGUGAGACAUAUUAGGAAUGACUAUUUUGGGGGUUGGAGAGCAAACCUGAGAGCAUCAUGGGCAAGGAGGGAAAAGGGAACAUCCUGAUUUUCUGGUCAAUGCGCACGUGUGAGCUCUCCUCAGAUUGGCCCUAGAGCUCAUCCUGGAGGAAGAGCUGGUUUCCAGGCUGCUGAAAUGAUGCCUAGAGGAGGCAGGCCAAGGGGCACCCCCAUGGCAGGUGCCAUAUGGGUUGCAGGAGUGAGGAGGCAGGUACGGGGUCCAGAAGAGAAAGACCGGUCCCUGUGGCUAUCUCUAUUUUCAGUAGGAACCACACCGGAAUGUUUUAAAAAUCCCAUGACUCAGUAGGUGAAUGGCCAAAUAAAUUGUGGUACAUCCAAACAAUGGAAUAUUAUUCAAUGCCAAAAAGAAAUGAGCUAUCAAGCCAUGAAAACACAUGGAGGAAACUUAAGUGUGCAUAUCAAUAAGUGAAAGGAGCCAACUGAAAAGGCUAUGUGCUGUAUGAUUCCAACUAUAUGACCUACUGGAAAAGGCAAAACUACGGAGACAGUAAGAAGAUCAGUGG
ensembl:lncRNA